AUUGAACGCUGGCGGCAGGCCUAACACAUGCAAGUCGAGCGGAUGAGUGGAGCUUGCUCCAUGAUUCAGCGGCGGACGGGUGAGUAAUGCCUAGGAAUCUGCCUGGUAGUGGGGGACAACGUUUCGAAAGGAACGCUAAUACCGCAUACGUCCUACGGGAGAAAGCAGGGGACCUUCGGGCCUUGCGCUAUCAGAUGAGCCUAGGUCGGAUUAGCUAGUUGGUGAGGUAAAGGCUCACCAAGGCGACGAUCCGUAACUGGUCUGAGAGGAUGAUCAGUAUCACUGGAACUGAGAACCGGUCCAGACUCCUACGGGAGGCAGCAGUGGGGAAUAUUGGACAAUGGGCGAAAGCCUGAUCCAGCCAUGCCGCGUGUGUGAAGAAGGUCUUCGGAUUGUAAAGCACUUUAAGUUGGGAAGAAGGGCAGUAAGUUAAUACCUUGCUGUUUUGACGUUACCGACAGAAUAAGCACCGGCUAACUUCGUGCCAGCCGCCGCCGUAACAC
rnacentral:rRNA from 1 species